AUACGUAGGUGGCAAGCGUUAUCCGGAAUUAUUGGGCGUAAAGAGGGAGCAGGCGGCAGCAAGGGUCUGUGGUGAAAGCCUGAAGCUUAACUUCAGUAAGCCAUAGAAACCAGGCAGCUAGAGUGCAGGAGAGGAUCGUGGAAUUCCAUGUGUAGCGGUGAAAUGCGUAGAAAUAUGGAGGAACACCAGUGGCGAAGGGGACGAUCUGUCCUGCAACUGACGCGCAGUCCCGAAAGCGUGGGGAGCAAAUAGGAUUGGAUACCCUAGUGGACCACGCCGUAAACGAUGAGUACUAAGUGUUGGAUGUCAAAGUUCAGUGCUGCAGUUAACACAAUAAGUACUCCGCCUGAGUAGUACGUUCGCAAGAAUGAAACUCAAAUGAAUUGACGGGG
rnacentral:rRNA from 1 species